rnacentral:ncRNA from 1 species
UCUGUGGAGAGUUGGAAAAACUUGUCAAUUUUAUUAGGCAAGAACUUUAUGAAACAGAAA